rnacentral:tRNA from 1 species
GCCGUCCUAGCUCAGUUGGUAGAGCACCUGAUUUGUAAUCAGGCGGUCAGCAGUUCGAGUCUGCUGGACGGCUCCA